CCUCUCUGUCUCUCGCGAAUCCUCUCUCCCCCACGAACCCCUCUCCCUCGCCGCCGCCACCACCGACGCCGGCUGGUUCCGGCGAGCUCCGGCGGCGCGCAGCACACCCCCGAGCUCCCCUAGGUCCACUCCACCCUCCCCUCCGUCCAGAAUCGGCGCUCCCGUCCUCCACCGACCCCGUGGCUAGCUAGGGUUUCGACCGCCACCCCUAACAUCGCCGGGAUCAGCCAGAUCCGGCGACGGCGAGGCCAGAGCUCGACAGAUCCGUUACGGGCGUGGCGCAGGUCACCUUGGUGCGGUCUGGACGGCGGCGACGGCAGGAGGGCGCCGUCCUUCCUACUCGAGGAGGCGGAGGACGAGGGGCGCACCUAGCUGGCGGCCCUGUCCUGCUCGAGGAGGCGGGCGCUGCCGAGCUCAAGCACGGCCACGACGACCCACCUCGGCAGAGAUGCAGGGAGGGAGGGACUUCCAUGGAUUGGACUGCAAGGAUUGGAUGCAAACCAAUGCACAUGAGGAGGAGAGAUGCAAGCCAGGUCAUGACCUAAAGGUCCCUGCCGUGAACCCCUUCCCCUUCCCGUGUAUAAUCAUGCUCAACAAAUACUUGAUAUGAUUUUGGUUAAUCUUCAAUUCAGCCCAGCUAGCUGUUGUAGUACUUGCUUGUCUCCUUCCAAAUGUUGCCCUAGUCCGUUGAGUUUCUUAUUGCUCCAGGUAGUACUGUUAUUUUUCUGCUCUGCGAUUUGGUUUGCAUGGUUCUAGGCUCCCAGUCUACCGCUUUUGUUGCUGUGAUUUCGAGCUCUGUUUUCUUUAUUAUGACAAGUUGCAAAAUUAGUAGUGGGAAGUAAACUUUUGUUAACUUGUUGGCUGAACGAAUGGAACUACUGUUAUAUUUGAUUUGUUGCUCAACUA